GCUUAGCCCUAAACAUAGAUAGCACCACACAAUGCUAUCCGCCAGAGAACUACAAAUGAAAAGCUAGAAACUCCAAGGACUUGGCGGUGCUCCAUACCGUCCUAGAGGAGCCUGUCCUAUAAUCGAUAACCCACGCUUAACCUCACCACCCUUUGUAACUCAGCUUAUAUACCGCCGUCGUCAGCCCACCCUGUGAAAGAACAAAAGUGAGCAAAAUAGUUAACAACUAAAACGUCAGGUCAAGGUGUAGCCCAUGGGAUGGAAGAGAUGGGCUACACUUUCUAUAAUAGAAUACACGAAUAACACAGUGAAACCUGUGCUUGAAGGCGGAUUUAGUAGUAAGAUAAAUAAGAAAAUUUACCUGAAACCCGCUCUGGAGCGCGCACACACCGCCCGUCACCCUCAAGUAUUAAAGGUCCCGCCUGCCCA
rnacentral:rRNA from 1 species